rnacentral:lncRNA from 1 species
AUAGCCCUAACCUCUCCCCUAAUCUCCAGAUUUCUAACAAGAAGAGAUCUUGUUUGUGCAGACAUCUCCUCCUGAAUGGACAUAGCAAACUGAGCUAUGAGCAACACAAACAGAAAUUAUUCUCACUGCCACCCGCUCCCAGCAUGCCUUCCUCACAGCCUUUCUAAUUCUGGUUGCCGUGGUCUGGGGCACAUCAGAAUCCUGACUUCAAUUUGGCAAUUUCCAUUAUAAUUGAAGGUCUGAAAAGUUCUUAAAAAGUUCACUUCUUGCCUAAGAAAAUAAUAUAUCUUAUGAAUAUAUGUUACCAUCUCACAGAACACAGUGUGGAGAAUACUGGUAUAAAACAUCAUUCCUCAUCAUGUGUUAUCAGCGUAUUGGUAAGCAACAAAGAACUAGUUCUACCCUUUUACCUUGUAAACCCAGCCCUUGACAUCUUAUUUAUGUGCAAGGCAAGUGCAAAGCAGGUUUGGGGACAGGACAGUCUCUGGAGUAUAAGGACAAGUUAUUUGUUUUCUAUGCUGAAGGGGCCAUAAAAACAGUAACAUAUUUAAUGAGGCCUCACUGUAGCUAUUUUAGCCUCCAUAAAACAUCUUAUUCAGCCUAACCUACAAUUACUUAAUGGACAGCGUUUUACAAAUAGCUAGUCUCCAGCCUCAAAUGUUUAUUAAGUGUCUGUUCCUUUUGGAGCCACUUUACUAAGGAGAGUCAUGCAAGAUUAAAAAGACAGAAUAUUAAAAAUUCAGCCAAGACACACCAGGGCUACCCUGAUGAUAACAACUGUGGUGUAACGUUUUUGAAUUCAUAUGGAUUCCCAUGUUCUCAGUAAAAGAUACCCUACCAUUUCCCAACAUUCUUUCAUUAAAAAAAUUAUUUGGACCAUCAUGGGUAUUUGGCAUUUCUUUUUUGCAUAAGACAGAUCCUCUGUGAGUUGUAUUUUUCUAAGAAAUGUUGAGUUGUAAAAGAUAAAGGUGAAUGAAUAUUUAUUUAUUUUAUACAGCACUUUAAAGUUUGCAGAAAACUCCCCCCCGACUAUCAUUUUUGUACUUACAAAAAUCCCAUGAGAAUGGCAGUAUUACAAGCACCACAAAAGUGACCAGUGUCCCUCAUCCAGCAAUGUAAAACCAGAUACCUACACCAAGGUUUGCAGCAAUAAAAAGAAAGACUUUUAUGGCAGGGUGCCAAGCAAG